AAGACCAGGAAAGUUAAGACUCCAAAGAAAUCUGCAAAGGAAGAGCAGCCUGUGGUGAGGCACGCAAAACCAGCUGAGGUACACGAAGGAAAGGUGAAAUUGUCAGUGGCUAAGAUUGAAGACAGACAUAUUUUGGAGGAGCAAAUACAAGUACUAAAGGCUAAUUUAGAAAAUGAGAAAAAGAAGACAGAAAGAUUUAAGAAAGAAUCAGAAC